UUCACUUUACACGCGAAAGGUCCCCAGUUCGAAACUGGGCGGAAACAAGUGGAGGUUUUUUUAAGACACAUGCUGAAAUGGCUCUCCGGUAAGAGGAUGUCCACACUCCAAUGACCUUACUUUUGAGCUGGCUGAAGGCAAUCGUACAUAGGAGCUCUAUGCAGACUGUCAUUCUGAAUGUGCGCUGUCCUGUUGUUCGUGGAAUUUACACAGACGGUCUCUCUCUCUCUGCUUGCAGAGCAGAUCAUGGGAUGAUCCUGUGUUCGAAAAAGCACCCGACGAUCGCCGUGAGGUUUCUGUAGUGUAGUGGUCAUCACGUUCGCCUAACACGCGAAAGGUCCUCGGUUCGAAACCGAGCAGAAACAGCGCUUGGCUUUUGACAGAAAAUAUGCACUGUUUGUGACGCUAGGAGGAUUUAGCACUCUUUUCCUUAUAAGCAUUUUAAGUAGCUUGCAUUUUAAGAUUUCUCUCGGUGUCCGCCCGUGACAGGUUUCCGUAGUGUAGUGGUUAUCACGUUCGCCUCACACGCGAAAGGUCCCCAGUUCGAAACUGGGCGGAAACAGUGGUUUGCUUUUGCCAAAAUUUCCUAAGGGGAUUUCUUUUGAGCAGAUCGGUACUCUUGCUGCACAAUUUGCGGUGUAAACUCUUAAAAAAAAACUAAAAUAAAACAAAUGACCAGUGAGGUCUCCUGUAAUGGCAAAACAGUUGGUUUGCUACUAAAAGUAGCAGCCUUUUGCCGUUUUAAGAUCACUGCUCAGUCGUUCGUUUCAGUCCUUGUCAACAAGCGUGCGCUAAAAACGUUCAGAAUGCAUCUGCCCUCAGGUUUCCGUAGUGUAGUGGUUAUCACGUUCGCUUUACACGCGAAAGGUCCCCAGUUCGAAACUGGGCGGAAACAAGUGGAGGUUUUUUUAAGACACAUGCUGAAAUGGCUCUCCGGUAAGAGGAUGUCCACACUCCAAUGACCUUACUUUUGAGCUGGCUGAAGGCAAUCGUACAUAGGAGCUCUAUGCAGACUCUCAUUCUGAAUGUGCGCUGUCCUGUCGUUUGUGGAAUUUACACAGACGGUCUCUCUCUCUCUGCUUGCAGAGCAGAUCAUGGGAUGAUCCUGUGUUCGAAAAAGCACCCGACAAUCGCCGUGAGGUUUCUGUAGUGUAGUGGUCAUCACGUUCGCCUAACACGCGAAAGGUCCUCGGUUCGAAACCGAGCAGAAACAGCGCUUGGCUUUUGACAGAAAAUAUGCACUGUUUGUGACGCUAGGAGGAUUUAGCACUCUUUUCCUUCUAAGCAUUUUAAGUAGCUUGCAUUUUAAGAUUUCUCUCGGUGUCCGCCAGUGACAGGUUUCCGUAGUGUAGUGGUUAUCACGUUCGCCUCACACGCGAAAGGUCCCCAGUUCGAAACUGGGCGGAAACAGUGGUUUGCUUUUGCCAAAAUUUCCUAAGGGGAUUUCUUUUGAGCAGAUCGGUACUCUUGCUGCACAAUUUGCGGUGUAAACUCUUAAAAAAAAACUAAAAUAAAACAAAUGACCAGUGAGGUCUCCUGUAAUGGCAAAACAGUUGGUUUGCUACUAAAAGUAGCAGCCUUUUGCCGUUUUAAGAUCACUGCUCAGUCGUUCGUUUCAGUCCUUGUCAACAAGCGUGCGCUAAAAACGUUCAGAAUGCAUCUGCCCUCAGGUUUCCGUAGUGUAGUGGUUAUCACGUUCGCUUUACACGCGAAAGGUCCCCAGUUCGAAACUGGGCGGAAACAAGCGGAGGUUUUUUUAAGACACAUGCUGAAAUGGCUCUCCGGUAAGAGGAUGUCCACACUCCAAUGACCUUACUUUUGAGCUGGCUGAAGGCAAUCGUACAUAGGAGCUCUAUGCAGACUGUCAUUCUGAAUGUGCGCUGUCCUGUCGUUUGUGGAAUUUACACAGACGGUCUCUCUCUCUCUGCUUGCAGAGCAGAUCAUGGGAUGAUCCUGUGUUCGAAAAAGCACCCGACGAUCGCCGUGAGGUUUCUGUAGUGUAGUGGUCAUCACGUUCGCCUAACACGCGAAAGGUCCUCGGUUCGAAACCGAGCAGAAACAGCGCUUGGCUUUUGACAGAAAAUAUGCACUGUUUGUGACGCUAGGAGGAUUUAGCACUCUUUUCCUUCUAAGCAUUUUAAGUAGCUUGCAUUUUAAGAUUUCUCUCGGUGUCCGCCCGUGACAGGUUUCCGUAGUGUAGUGGUUAUCACGUUCGCCUCACACGCGAAAGGUCCCCAGUUCGAAACUGGGCGGAAACAAGCAGAGGUUUUUUUAAGACACAUGCUGAAUUGGCUCUCCGGUAAGAGGAUGUCCACGCUCCAAAGACCUUACUUUUGAGCUGGCUGAAGGCAAUCGUACAUAGGAGCUCUAUGCAGACUCUCAUUCUGAAUGUGCGCUGUCCUGUCGUUUGUGGAAUUUACACAGACGGUCUCUCUCUCUCUGCUUGCAGAGCAGAUCAUGGGAUGAUCCUGUGUUCGAAAAAGCACCCGACGAUCGCCGUGAGGUUUCUGUAGUGUAGUGGUCAUCACGUUCGCCUAACACGCGAAAGGUCCCCAGUUCGAAACUGGGCGGAAACAAGCAGAGGUUUUUUUAAGACACAUGCUGAAUUGGCUCUCCGGUAAGAGGAUGUCCACGCUCCAAAGACCUUACUUUUGAGCUGGCUGAAGGCAAUCGUACAUAGGAGCUCUAUGCAGACUGUCAUUCUGAAUGUGCGCUGUCCUGUUGUUCGUGGAAUUUACACAGACGGUCUCUCUCUCUCUGCUUGCAGAGCAGAUCAUGGGAUGAUCCUGUGUUCGAAAAAGCACCCGAUGAUCGCCGUGAGGUUUCUGUAGUGUAGUGGUCAUCACGUUCGCCUAACACGCGAAAGGUCCCC